GGGCUAGCAUCUGGGCGUAGCCUCCUACAUCCCACCUCUGACCGGUUUCACAGUCACCGCCGCCCCCGAGGCAGGGGCAGAGUGAGGGCACCCCGGCCGCGCCCCAGCCCCGCCGCCUCCGGAGCGCGCAGGGCGCCGCUCGGUCCCUGAGAAACAGCCGGAGCCGGUGGGCGCCUCCGCCUCAGUGCUCCCGUGGGAGGGAGACAGAGGCAGCCCGAGACGUCACUCACUUUGUUCAGCAUCUGGAAGGCAAAUGCAAAGAAAAAAAAAUGCAAAGAUAAAAGCAGUCAUUGAUACCGCUAGCUGGUGAGGGCUGACCCUCGGCGCCGCGCUCCCCGAGUAAAAGUACACCUGAUGCUCACCUCCGGGUUAAUCUCCAUCGGCUUCAGCUGCAUCUUCGCGAACAACGGCAAGAAGCACAAGCCAGAGAAGAGGAAAAACAGAGAGCGGAGACGCCCAGGCUGCAGCUAUAAAGCACCGGCCUGACGCACUUUGGAUGCCUGCGCAGGGGGAGCAGAGGCAAAACCAAGCGAAGAGAAACGGUCAGUCGCAGCCAAAUGGGCACGAACCCCCCCCUUGCGCAGCGCGGAGUGGUACGGCCAAGCCCCCAAACCUUGCAGUCUCACUUGCUGGUGAGAUAAUCUGGUGGUUGUGGAGAUGGGUUUUGUUGGUGGGUGUUCCUUGAGCGUGUGGAGCAGUCCUUUUGAUGGAGUCUGAUUUUUUGUGAAGUUUCUGGAAGCCCACACUUGAGACCAUCCCAGUUACCUGAACGCUUAGAGUCUCUGAAGCACUGAGAAAAAGCCCAAAUUCAACAGGGCUCCCUCAACAGUGAGCUGAUCCCCACAUCACUGAUCAGCUGACCUGGACCAGUGUGUACUUUCCUGGGGGAAAGCGGAACAGAAGGAGUCUGCACUUUCUGCAGUUUAGCUACUUGCUUGUUCCAAAGCAUAUGCAGGCCUCUCACUGUUGUGGCCUCUCCCGUUGCGGAGCACGGGCUCUGGACACGUAGGCUCAGCGGCCAUGGCUCACAGGCCCAGCCACUCGGCGUCAUGUGGGAUCUUCCCAGACCAGGGCAUGAACCCAUGUUCCCUGCAUCGGCAGGCGGACUCUCAACCACUGCGCCACC